rnacentral:rRNA from 1 species
UACGUAGGGGGCAAGCGUUGUCCGGAUUUAUUGGGCGUAAAGAGCGUGUAGGCGGCUGGGUAGGUCCGCUGUGAAAACUCGAGGCUCAACCUCGAGACGCCGAUGGAAACCCUCCAGCUAGAGUCCGGAAGAGGAGAGUGGAAUUCCUGGUGUAGCGGUGAAAUGCGCAGAUAUCAGGAAGAACACCCGUGGCUAAGGCGGCUCUCUAGUACGGUACUGACGCUGAGACGCGAAAGCGUGGGGAGCGAACAGG